ACUUCUAACAACACAUAAGUAUCGGCACCCUCCGCACCACACAAGUUUAAUUUAUUAUUACUAUAUAUACUGUUUAUUAUAUUACUAUAUAAUAAAUUAAACUUGUGUGGUGCGGAGGGUGCCGAUACUUAUGUGUUGUUU
rnacentral:ncRNA from 1 species